rnacentral:rRNA from 1 species
UCGCUAGUAAUCGCGGAUCAGAAUGCCGCGGUGAAUACGUUCCCGGGUCUUGUACACACCGCCCGUCACACCAUGGGAGUUGGAAAUGCCCGAAGUCAGUGGCCCAACCUACGGGAGGGAGCUGCCGAAGGCAGGUUCGAUGACUGGGGUGAAGUCGUAACAAGGUAAC